rnacentral:rRNA from 1 species
GGGACUUGAGACCGGCGCACGGGUGCGUAACGCGUAUGCAAUCUACCUUAUACAGGGGAAUAGCCCAGAGAAAUUUGGAUUAAUGCCCCAUAGUGUUAUAGAAUCGCAUGGUUUUAUAACUAAAGUUCCAACGGUAUAAGAUGAGCAUGCGUCCCAUUAGUUAGUUGGUAAGGUAACGGCUUACCAAGACAAUGAUGGGUAGGGGUCCUGAGAGGGAGAUCCCCCACACUGGUACUGAGACACGGACCAGACUCCUACGGGAGGCAGCAGUGAGGAAUAUUGGUCAAUGGGCGCAAGCCUGAACCAGCCAUGCCGCGUGCAGGAAGACGGUCCUAUGGAUUGUAAACUGCUUUUAUACAGGAAGAAACCUCCCUACGUGUAGGGACUUGACGGUACUGUAGGAAUAAGGAUCGGCUAACUCCGUGCCAGCAGCCGCGGUAAUACGGAGGAUCCAAGCGUUAUCCGGAAUCAUUGGGUUUAAAGGGUCCGUAGGCGGCCUUAUAAGUCAGUGGUGAAAUCUCCUAGCUCAACUAGGAAACUGCCAUUGAUACUGUAGGGCUUGAAUUUUUGUGAAGUAACUAGAAUAUGUAGUGUAGCGGUGAAAUGCUUAGAUAUUACAUGGAAUACCAAUUGCGAAGGCAGGUUACUACCAAACGAUUGACGCUGAUGGACGAAAGCGUGGGGAGCGAACAGGAUUAGA